rnacentral:rRNA from 1 species
CCUACGGGAGGCAGCAGUGAGGAAUAUUGGUCAAUGGACGAGAGUCUGAACCAGCCAAGUAGCGUGAAGGAUGCCUGCCCUAUGGGUUGUAAACUUCUUUUAUAUGGGAAUAAAACGUUCCACGUGUGGGAUUUUGUAUGUACCAUAUGAAUAAGGAUCGGCUAACUCCGUGCCAGCAGCCGCGGUAAUACGGAGGAUCCGAGCGUUAUCCGGAUUUAUUGGGUUUAAAGGGAGCGUAGGUGGAUUGUUAAGUCAGUUGUGAAAGUUUGCGGCUCAACCGUAAAAUUGCAGUUGAAACUGGCAGUCUUGAGUACAGUAGAGGUGGGCGGAAUGCGUGGUGUAGCGGUGAAAUGCUUAGAUAUCACGAAGAACUCCGAUUGCGAAGGCAGUUCACUGGACUGCAACUGACACUGAGGCUCGAAAGUGUGGGUAUCAAACAGGAUUAGAUACCCCAGUAGUC